rnacentral:lncRNA from 1 species
AAAAUAAAAAAAUAAUUAAAAACUUGAAACGAAAAAGAAAAAAGAAGAAGAAGAAAAAAGAAACUACAAGUAUUAAAAGAAAGAAACUAUAGAAAAAAGAAAAAUACUACAAGUAUUAAAAGAAAGAAACUACAAGUAUUAAAAGAAAGAAACUACAUACUUAAAAGAAAAAAACUACAAAAAAUCUCGCCUUUUAAUAAAGAAAUUACAUACUUAAAAGAAAGAAACUACAAGUAUUAAAAGAAAGAAACUGCAUAAUUAAAAGAAAGAAACUACAAGUAUUUAAAGAAAGAAACUAUAGAAAAAAGAAAGAAACUACAAGUAUUAAAAGAAAAAAAAACUACAGAAAAAAGAAAAAAACUACAAGUAUUAAAAGAAAGAAACUACAAGUAUUAUUUUAAUAAAAAAUUACAUAUUUAAAAGAAAGAAACUACAAGUAUCAUUUCUAAAACUUUGUUAAAUAAACAAGAUUUGAAUAAAUUUUUAAGUGACACUCUACUGUUAACAAAUGAAACUAUUACGAUCAAUUAAUGACACUUUUCAUAUAUUUAAGUUAAUCAUAUAGAC